UAAGACGGAGGGCGCAAGCGUUGUUCGGAAUUACUGGGCGUAAAGGGCAGGUAGGUGGUCUGUUAAGUCUUCUGUGAAAACCCGGGGCUCAACCCCGCGGAAUGCAGGUGAAACUGGCAGACUUGAGACCGGUAGAGGCUAGCGGAAUUCCUGGUGUAGCGGUGGAAUGCGUAGAUAUCAGGAAGAACACCUGUGGCGAAGGCGGCUAGCUGGGCCGGUUCUGACACUGAACUGCGAAAGCGUGGGGAGCAAACAGGAUUAGAUACCCUGGUAGUCCACGCCGUAAACGAUGAGAACUAGAUGUUGGGAGGGUUUGCCUCUCAGUGUCGCAGCUAACGCGUUAAGUUCUCCGCCUGGGGAGUACGACCGCAAGGUUG
rnacentral:rRNA from 1 species